GGAGAGAUGGCUGAGUGGUCGAAGGCGCUCGACUGGAAAUCGAGUAGACGGGUGUUUAAGCCCGUCUCGCGGGUUCGAAUCCCGCUCUCUCCGCCA
rnacentral:tRNA from 1 species